rnacentral:rRNA from 1 species
GGGUUGUGAGGUUAAGCGACUAAGCGUACACGGUGGAUGCCCUGGCAGUCAGAGGCGAUGAAGGGCGUGCUAAUCUGCGAUAAGCGCCGGUAAGGUGAUAUGAACCGUUAUAACCGGCGAUACCCGAAUGGGGAAACCCAGUGUGAUUCGUCACACUAUCAUUAACUGAAUCCAUAGGUUAAUGAGGCGAACCGGGGGAACUGAAACAUCUAAGUACCCCGAGGAAAAGAAAUCAACCGAGAUUCCCCCAGUAGCGGCGAGCGAACGGGGAGGAGCCCAGAGCCUGAAUCAGCAUGUGUGUUAGUGGAAGCGUCUGGAAAGGCGCGCGAUACAGGGUGACAGCCCCGUACACAAAAGCGCAUGUGCUGUGAGCUCGAUGAGUAGGGCGGGACACGUGGUAUCCUGUCUGAAUAUGGGGGGACCAUCCUCCAAGGCUAAAUACUCCUGACUGACCGAUAGUGAACCAGUACCGUGAGGGAAAGGCGAAAAGAACCCCGGCGAGGGGAGUGAAAAAGAACCUGAAACCGUGUACGUACAAGCAGUGGGAGCCCCACCACCAAAGCAUUCUCUGGUGUUGAAGGCCCUGCAAAGCAGCAUCGCGGUGGCGGAGCGUCGUUUGCGACGCCCAACACACAAAACAAGCGGUGAGUGCUUUGGGGUGGGGUGACUGCGUACCUUUUGUAUAAUGGGUCAGCGACUUAUAUUCUGUAGCAAGGUUAACCGUAUAGGGGAGCCGGAGGGAAACCGAGUCUUAACCGGGCGUUAAGUUGCAGGGUAUAGACCCGAAACCCGGUGAUCUAGCCAUGGGCAGGUUGAAGGUUGGGUAACACUAACUGGAGGACCGAACCGACUAAUGUUGAAAAAUUAGCGGAUGACCUGUGGCUGGGGGUGAAAGGCCAAUCAAACCGGGAGAUAGCUGGUUCUCCCCGAAAGCUAUUUAGGUAGCGCCUCGUGAAUUCAUCUCCGGGGGUAGAGCACUGUUUCGGCUAGGGGGCCAUCCCGGCUUACCAACCCGAUGCAAACUGCGAAUACCGGAGAAUGUUAUCACGGGAGACACACGGCGGGUGCUAACGUCCGUCGUGAAGAGGGAAACAACCCAGACCGCCAGCUAAGGUCCCAAAGUCAUGGUUAAGUGGGAAACGAUGUGGGAAGGCCCAGACAGCCAGGAUGUUGGCUUAGAAGCAGCCAUCAUUUAAAGAAAGCGUAAUAGCUCACUGGUCGAGUCGGCCUGCGCGGAAGAUGUAACGGGGCUAAACCAUGCACCGAAGCUGCGGCAGCGAACGUAUCACUUAAAGCGAUUCAGCGGGUUACGAUUGACGGAGCGAAGCGACGUCAAAGCGUAUACAAAGUCGAGUCGGUUUAAGGAUACGUUCGUUGGGUAGGGGAGCGUUCUGUAAGCCUGUGAAGGUGGCCUGUGAGGGUUGCUGGAGGUAUCAGAAGUGCGAAUGCUGACAUAAGUAACGAUAAAGCGGGUGAAAAGCCCGCUCGCCGGAAGACCAAGGGUUCCUGUCCAACGUUAAUCGGGGCAGGGUGAGUCGACCCCUAAGGCGAGGCCGAAAGGCGUAGUCGAUGGGAAACGGGUUAAUAUUCCCGUACUUGGUGUUACUGCGAAGGGGGGACGGAGAAGGCUAUGUUGGCCGGGCGACGGUUGUCCCGGUUUAAGCGUGUAGGCUGGUUUUCCAGGCAAAUCCGGAAAAUCAAGGCUGAGGCGUGACGACGAGGCACUACGGUGCUGAAGCAACAAAUGCCCUGCUUCCAGGAAAAGCCUCUAAGCAUCAGGUAACAUCAAAUCGUACCCCAAACCGACACAGGUGGUCAGGUAGAGAAUACCAAGGCGCUUGAGAGAACUCGGGUGAAGGAACUAGGCAAAAUGGUGCCGUAACUUCGGGAGAAGGCACGCUGACAC